rnacentral:tRNA from 1 species
GCCAGCGUAGCUCAGUUGGAAGAGCAUCACAUUCGUAACGUGAAGGCCGUGGGUCCGAUUCCCACCGCUGGCU